rnacentral:rRNA from 1 species
AAUCCCAAAAAGUGCGUCGUAGUCCGGAUUGGAGUCUGCAACUCGACUCCAUGAAGUCGGAAUCGCUAGUAAUCGUGGAUCAGAAUGCCACGGUGAAUACGUUCCCGGGCCUUGUACACACCGCCCGUCACACCAUGGGAGUGGGCUGCAAAAGAAGUGGGUAGUUUAACCUUCGGGAGGACGCUCACCACUUUGUGGUUCAUGACUGGGGUGAAGUCGUAACAAGGUAGCGCUAGGGGAACCUGGCGCUGGAUCACCUCCUUAUACGAUGAU